UCUAAACAAAUAAGCACAGUUAAAAUUCAAACAAAUAAUGAAAAAAUUAUAAGAUUUAUGAAUGUACAUACAAGAUUAUUUUUUAGAACUCAAUCUAAUGAUCACUUGACCUGUGAGAUAUUAACCUAAAUAAUAAUAAAAUAAAAGUAAUAGAAAAAAAAAGGAGAAAUAGAAUUGUUCAACUUAAAAUUCAGCACCAUUUAAAUAAUGACAGGUGGUUAAUUUAUAUUAAUUAACAAAUAAAAAUUCAGCAUAAUACAUAAUUGAUAUAUGGCUAAAUU
rnacentral:lncRNA from 1 species